AAAAAUCUGCCACCGGGUAGUGCGUGAAAUGCAUUUGUGUAUGUCGUUAGGUCUUAGAAGAUGUACAUGAAUGCAUUUUUUUGGA
rnacentral:ncRNA from 1 species